GAUGAACGCUGGCGGCGUGCUUAACACAUGCAAGUCGAACGAAGCACCUCUCCCGAAGAUUGACACAGCUUGCUGUAGAUUGAUUCAUUUGAGGUGACUGAGUGGCGGACGGGUGGGUAACGCGUGGGUAACCUGCCUCAUAGAGGGGGACAACAGUUGGAAACGACUGCUAAUACCGCAUAGUAAGAAGAAUUCGCAUGUUUUCUUCUUGAAAGAUUUAUCGCUAUGAGAUGGACCCGCGUCUGAUUAGCUAGUUGGUAAGGUAACGGCUUACCAAGGCGACGAUCAGUAGCCGGCUUGAGAGAGUGAACGGCCACAUUGGGACUGAGACACGGCCCAAACUCCUACGGGAGGCAGCAGUGGGGAAUAUUGCACAAUGGGGGAAACCCUGAUGCAGCGACGCCGCGUGAGUGAAGAAGUAUUUCGGUAUGUAAAGCUCUAUCAGCAGGGAAGAUAAUGACGGUACCUGACUAAGAAGCCCCGGCUAACUACGUG
rnacentral:rRNA from 1 species